UUAUAUUCUCCACAGGGGGGGAUGAGAACCCCCGACCGGGGUUCGACAACUGGCGCAGCCAGUUGGACAGACCGCGCACGCAGUAUGGACAGACCGCGCACGCAGUAAGCGGGCUGCCCCGCAGGGGCGAGCGAAGCGAGUCAAUCCCCCCCUCACCGCCA
rnacentral:sRNA from 1 species